rnacentral:lncRNA from 10 species
AAACUCCAUCUCAAAAAAAAAAAAAAGAAAGAAAGAAAGAAGAAAUUCUUCAUGAUGGUGGGGUAGGCAGAGAUCAUAGAAAGAACUUACUAUAAAAGGAGGAAAAAGACAGCAUUAAAAAGAUAAAUAGGUAAGUCAUACACUAGGAGAAGGUUUUGUAAUACAUACUUUUGACAAAAGAUUUCUAUCUGGAACAUAUAAAGAAAUCUAAUAACUCAAUAGUAAGACCCCAACCAAAAUAAAAUAUGGGCAAAAAAAAUUUAACAAAUACCUCAAAAAGAAGAUAUACAAACAUCCAAUAAACACACAUGAAAAGUUGUUCAACAUUAUUAGCCAUUAGGGAAAUGUAAAUUAAAAUCACAAUGAGAUAACAUCACACACUCACUAGAAUGGCUAAACUUUAGGAGAAUCGGUAAUAACGUGUUGGUGACGAUGUGGAACAACUGGAACUCUUAUAUAUUGCUGGCAGGAGUGUGAACUGGAACAGUCACUUGGAAAAAAGUUUGGUGGUGUCUUAUAAAGUUAAACAUAUACUUACCAAUGCCCAGCAAUCUCCAUUAUAGGUAUGGUUGGGAUGUGAUUUGUCUGUGUCAAAACUCAUGUUGAAGUUUGCUUGCCAGUUCUGUCCACUGGGGAGGUAAGGCCUAGUGGGAGGUGCUUGGAUCAUAGGGGUGAAUCCCUUAUGAAAAUAGGUUGGUGCUGUUGUCCUAGUAGAGUGUUUUCUUGUUGUUGUUGUUGUUCUCAAGAGACUGGAUCAAUUCUCAAGGAAUGUAUUAGUUCCUGAGCAAGGGGUUGUAAUAAAGUGAAGUUUCUCCUCCUGUUUGAUCUCUCUUUGCAUACGUCUGCUUCCCCUUUAACCUUUUCUGCCAUGUUUUGACCCAGGACAAAAGCCCUCACCAGAAGCCGAGUGGAUGCCACUGCCACUUGAACUUCCCAGUCUGCAGAACUGUGAGCUACACCUUUUUAUAAAUGACCCAUCUCAAGUAUUCUGUUACAACACCACCAAAUGGACUAAGACAAGUAUUUAUCCAAAGGAAAUAAAAAUGUAUGUCUGCACAAAGAUUAGUACAUGAAAAAUGUCAGAGCAGCUGUAUUCAUAAUAACCAAAAACUGGAAAUAUCCCAAGUAUCCAUCAACAGGUGAACAGAUAAAUUGUGGUAUAUUCAUACAAUGGCUUACUACUCAGUAAUAAAAAGGAACAAAGUAGUGGUAAGUGCUACAACAUGAAUACAACUCGAAAACUUUAUACUGAAAGAUGCCAGAUAGAAGCAUACAUAGCAUAUUAUUACAUUUAAAUGAAGUUCUAGAACAAACAAAACUAUUUUGAUUGGCUGGCCUUGAAAAGGUGACAUUUGAGCAAGAUCUGGAUGUCAAGAGGGAGCCAGCUAUGGCAAGAUCGAUGGGGAGCAUUCCAGGCAAACAGCACUACAGGAACAGGAUCAGGAAAGAGCUUGUUGAGCUUGGAAACAGUCAGCAGGCCACAGUGACUGCGUGAAGUAGGUGGGGCAGAGAAUGGUGGGGGACAGGGUGGAGAGGUGGAUGGGAGCCAGAUCAUGCCAAGCCUUAUCAGCCCUGAUAAAGUUGUGGAAUUUGAUAUGAAUAAAAUGCAAAUCCCUCAUAGUUUUGUGGGGCGGAAACACAUAAGCAAAUAAAGGCAAUUCAGGGUCAUGGGUGAUAUAUUUGGGGAGUGUACAGGGAAAGAGGAGUAGUAGGCAUUAGGGACAUCUGAGAAGGCUUCCCAGAGGAGGUGACAUUUCGGCUGAGACUGGAAGAGUAGUAGAAGAGGGGAAAGGUCAUUCUGGUGGAGGGUACUGUGCCUACAGAAGCUCAGAGACAUGUAGCCUCAGGGAACAUUCAGAGACCUCAGCAUAAUAUAAGCCUAGUUGGAGUGUUCCCAACUAGGAGAGGGAGUGGCAGGAGAUCUGAGGCUGAAGAGAGUGGCUUUGAAUGCUUUGUCAGACUUGAUCCUGCAGGGAAUGGGAAACCCCUGCAGAAUUUAUAGUCAGGAAGUAUCAGGGCCAGGUUGACACUUCAGAUCAAGAUCUCCAGAUUGGCAGGCAGAGAGCAAGGCCACUGGUUCUAGUGUGAGAUAAUGGGGGACUGGGCCUGGGACUGAGCAGGGGUGGGCGGGGCAGGGAGUAGAGCCAAACUCUGCUAAGCAGUGACUAGGACUCUCCCGAUUGAGGCAAAGCUCUCCAGAUCUUGAGGCCCCAGAGGGCCAUAAAUACUUUCAUGCGCAUCUGUUCUCUUGGAGGGCUUGUCACACCUGAAGGCUCCUAGGCCCUGGCUCCCAGGGAUUCAGAAGUGAUAGGUCUAGGAUGAAGCCCAGGAAUCUGCAUACAUAAAAAGUGACACUCUCCACUCUGAUGCGGGUGGACUCCAUACCUUCCAGGCUGGGGAGGGGAGGGGGCAGGACAAGCACACUCUCAUCUGGACUGUGGCUGAAGCAGCUCAGAGAAUCGAAGGUAGCAUCUAAAAUAAGGACCUGGAUGCACUGGGAACAAAGGUAGUGUGUGUCUCCACUGCUGCAGCUAAAGAAUUGCAGUGGAGUGGCCCUGGUCAUCAUGCAGAAAAAUGACUCCUGAUCACCAGUCCAAGGAGCCACAGAAAUAAGAGAUGGGGCCAUGAUCGGACCAUAGAUCUGUCUUUUAACCUGUACCUUCUCCUAGGGUGCAGACAGGGAGGCAGGAAGGGGAUUACUGGAGGCUGCAGUAAACUAGAGAACAAGCUCUGUGCAAAGGAAGCCUCUCUUACCAUUCAGCAUCUCAAUGAAUUAACCCUCACAACAGCUCUAUGUGGUUGGUCCUAUUAUUAUUCCCAUUUCUUAGAUGGGGAAACUGAGACUCAAAAAGGUGGAGUAAGUAGUGCUGGGUCCCAAGGUGAGGACAUAGGGGAACCAUGGCUGGAACACAGGCCUCUGGACACUCCGAAUCAUAGCAUUGCCCUGUGUCCCCUUCAGUGGGAAAAGUCACUUCAUCUCUUAAUCUUAAAUGAUCUUCCAAGCAAGAGGAGGGGAGAGGAGGAGUAUAAGCUUUCUUUGUCCCAUCUUUUUCAGAAGGUAUCUAAGUCCUUCCUGUGUGUGUCUUCCAAAGAUACAGUACCAGGACCUAGAGAGGCUGAGAUUUAGAGCCUCAUGGUGCAAACUCAAUUGUAGGGUCCUAGCCAGGACUACUUGCCUGUAUCUUCUAAGAAUCUCACAACAGUGCCACAUGCCUCAGCUUUAUCCAAGCAACAGAAGGAGGUGGUGGAGGUGGUGAUGGCAGCAGCAGCAGCAGCAGCAGCAGUGGCAGCAAAUCUGUCCCCAGUGCACUACAGUACUGUUUUGCUAUGAUGAAAUACACAUGGCAUAUGGCUACAAAGUUACUAUCUUGAGAGUGGAUAGAAAUGGGAUUUUUCAUGUGCCAGAUUUCACUUCCCUUUCUGAAACAAUUCUUGUAGUAAACAGAGGUUUUCUGAUCUUGCUAAGAUCAAGAGGAUGGGAAUUCCUUUACACUUUUAAAGUAAGACCACUGUCUUGUAGAGUUUCAGUCUGUUGAUGGUGCAAAUGUUUUUUAAACAUGGACGCUAUUCUGUGUUCCUCCCUCUUUCCUUCCAAAGGCUACGACACAAAGAGGAGCUGCUAACACCAGAUGACCAACUCCUUUCCAGUUACGGACCAUCCCGGUGAUGAGACCUCCAUAUGUUGUCUGAUGGCCGCAGUUCCUUGAGAAGCGUGGCCUGUCAGCCCAGCAUCAGAUGGUUCCAUGCCAACCUCCUCCAUGGCUAGGUGUUGGAGCGCCCCAGCUGCUGCCUCCCUGGUAGCUUUCAUUAAAGGACUUUGCUUUUUUGGAAUGGAAACCCACACUGCUGUUGUGAAGACACCUGAUGAAACUCCAGCAACUUCUACAUCUGGCCUGCUGCUUAGUCCUGGGACCUGAGGUCAAAAUCUUAGAAAAGAGCCAUGUGAGAUGCAUUCCCUGGCCUCAUCUCUGUUCUUGGAUGCUGUCAGCAACACUCCUUGAGUUUUUACCCACAUAAUAACACUUUCCUCAGCAUGGAUGUGGAGGUGGGGUGCUCUGCAAAGGGUGGCUCUUACCCUCAGAUGGUCCAGAGGUAGUUUGGGGUGUGCAUGGAUCACCUUCACUCUUCAGAGGCAAACAGACAAUGCUGCUCUUCUCCAACAGCCUCUGAAGGACACCACCUACUGACUGGUUCUGAGAUGUUUGCUGCCCCAGAGUCUCCCACCUGCUUCUUCCUCCCCCUCAGUCCUUUUUUGUAGCCUCUCAGCCUCCCUUCUCUUAAUGCUCUUAGCACCCUUUCCUGGGUCUCUAUUUACCCUGCCCUCCCUUUCAGCAACUCCUUCCCAAACCACUGCAUACUUCUCCUUUCUUUCCAAUCCCUCCUCCCUUCCCAGCACUUUCGCCCUCCAUUGAAUCCCUCAAGCCUCAUUCUGGCCCCACUCCUCCCCUCACCCUCUAUCCCUGCCCUCCUCAGAUCUGCCAAACACCUCAGGCCUGGCUGCCUCUGUCCUGUUCCUACCAACCUUCUGACCAUGCCUCUGUGCUCCUUGGGACCUGGGCUCACAUUUUCAAUCUCUUCUCUCCUAUUAGUACAGCUCUGUCUAGAGCCAUGGUUCUUCUCUACCUUUCACAGCUGUCUUCUUUCCCACUUAUAUGAGUUUCUUUAAGUGUGAAAAUUAAAAAGUGCCACUUAAAUACAAUGAUUAAGUCAUAAUAAACAGUACAAGUUGUACUUAUGUGAGACAUACCACCCAUACACGUUUGAUCUU